rnacentral:lncRNA from 1 species
ACGGGGAGGGGUUUGAGGAGGGGAUCGGAAUGUGGCUCAAGUUCGGGAGGCGUUACCUGCGGAGGGUUUGAGGCAGGCCCAAGAGCGAGCCCAUGGUCUUCCGACGCGGGGCCAGGGGCGGGCCCCAGGAUCCGGAGCUUCGUGCGGGGCCGAGUCCAGGUUUGGGGCCCGGGAGGCGGGGCCAGUUAGGGCGACUGUCCCUGGGAUCGUCGGGUCAGGCCUUGGGCUAACGUAGGCACUCUCGCAGUUCCUCCGCCUUCAGGAAGGUCUUUUCAGCAGGGGCCUUACGGGUGCAUGCUUCGGUCCUGGAGGCCUUAUCCUAGCCUCCUCUCCAUCAGCGCCACCCGUCUGGGGCCCGAAAGGAGGGAGCUUUCCCUCUGUCCCCCAGCCUUUGGACUGUCACCAAACAAGCCAUUCGUUCAUCAAAUACUUUUUAAGCGCCUACCAUGUGCCUGACAAGGGAGAUGUAACGGUGAGAAAAACUAGGUGUGGUCCAGGCCCUUCAGGGGCUCAGGUGCUCGUGGAAGAAGUGGACAUUGAAGUACUUAUCACACAAAUGAGGAUAAAAGUACGAUAGCGAUAUCUACCACGAAGCUGUUGUUCCCCACCAGAACCAAAUGAGCGCAAGAUCUGACAAAGAAAAAAAAAGGUUCAUCUUUUAUUCCUCCAAACACUUUCAUUUAAAUCAAGAGGAUGGGAUGUGGUUAUUGCUGUGUUUUUAGACAGAAUCAACGGUUUCUGGGUCUGAGAUGUUGCAUACACCUUCUCAGUCCCUGUAUCCUGAGAUGGAGUCACCUGAGAAUCCACAGCAAGUCCUAACCAGGGAUGGGUCUGGGUGAUUAAGGAAGGUUGGCUUCAGAACUGGGCCAGGGGCACUGCUUUGCUUUUGCUGUUUUGAUCAGCUCUCUGCCUGAAGGAGACAAGAAAAACCAACGGGAACAGCUGGGGAAACUGAGUUACAGAGCUUGUCUGCACUGAGUCAUCAGGAGCAAAUGCUAGAUCAGAUAGGGUCUCUCUCUCUGCCACCCAGGCCAGAGUGCAGUUGACGCAGGGCAGGGGAGCCCCGAAGUGGAGCAUAGUGUGUCCGGAACUGGUGGGUUCUUGGUCUCACUGACUUCAAGAAAGAAGCCGCGGACCCUCGCGGUGAGUGUCACAGUUCUUAAAGGCUGCGUGUCCAGAGUUUGUUCCUUCUGAUGCUCGGAUGUGUUCAGAGUUUCUUCCUUCUGGUGGUUUUGUGGUCUCGCUGGCUUCAGGAGUGAAGCUGCAGACCUUCAAGAAAUGAGGCUUCUCCCCAGGACCAGCAUUCCACGAAGGCAGCCCUUUUCUAGAUGGAGAAAACAGAACCUGAAGACACCCGUUUCCCUAAACUGCUCUCGCUCAUGUAAACUCCUGGAGGGCAGAGGCAUGCCUGCCAUCUUCAUCAUUGCAUUACCACCACCCAACACUAUCGGGGGACCUGCCCUGAUAAUCAGUCUACAGGUGUAUCCAGCAGCUCCAGAGAGACAGCGACCAGCGAGAAGGGGCCAUGAUGAUGGAGGUGGUUUUGUCAAAACGAAAAUGGGGAUAUGUAGGGAAAAGAAAGAGAGAUCAGACUGUUACUGUGUCUACAUAGAAAGGGAAGACAUAAGAGACUCCAUUUUGAAAAAGACCUGUACUUUAAACAAUUGCUUUGCUGAGAUGUUGUUAAUCUGUAGCUUUGCCCCAGCCACUUUGCCCCAACCACUUUGACCCAAUCUGGAGCUCAUAAAAACAUGUGUUGUAUGAAAUCAAGGUUUAAGGCAUGUAGGGCUGUGCAGGACGUGCCUUGUUAACCAAAUGUUUGCAAGCAGUAUACUUGGUAAAAGUCAUCACCAUUCUCUCAUCUCAAUAAACCAGGGGCACAAUGCACUGUGGAAAGCCGCAGGGACCUCUGCCCUUGAAAGCUGGGUAUUGUCCAAAGUUCCUCCCCAUGUGAUAGUCUGAAAUAUGGCCUCGUGGGAUGAGAAAGACCUGACGGUCCCCCAGCGCGACACCCAUAAAAGAUCUGUGCUGAGGUGGAUUAGUCAAAGAGGAAAGACUUGCAGUUGAGAUAGAGGAAGGCCACUGUCUCCUGACUGCCCCUGGGAACUGAAUGUCUCGGUAUAAAACACGAUUGUACAUUUGUUCAGUUCUGAGAUGGGAGAAAAACCGCCCUAUGGUGGGAGGCGAGACAUGUUUACAGCAAUGCUGCCUUGUUAUCCUUUACUCCACUGAGAUGUCUGGGUGGAGAGAAACAUAAAUCUGGCUUACAUGCACGUCCAGUCAUAGUACCUUCCCUUGAACUUCAUUAUGACAUGGAUUCUAUUGCUCACGUUUGUUGCUGACCUUCUCCUUAUUAUCACCCUGCCCUCCUACUACAUUCCUUUUUGCUGAAAUAAUGAAGAUAAUAAUCAAUAAAAACUGAGGGAAUUCAG